rnacentral:tRNA from 1 species
GUUUUAAUAGUUUAUAAUAAAACCUUGGUCUUGUAAAUCAAAAAUAAGGAAUAUCCUUUUAAAACU